rnacentral:lncRNA from 1 species
CUGCAGAGCCCAUGGCUGAGCCUGAAAGUGUCAGUGUUGCACUGGGCCCAGGGGAAGGAGAUGCAGUUUCCCCUGUGCUUGAAAUAACAGCAUCACCAGCAGCCACUGACGCAAGCACACAAGCUCAGCAAAAGGAAUGGGAACCUCUAGACCUAACCCCCUACGUUAGAAAAACAAUGCCUGAGCCUGUGCUAAGAAAU